rnacentral:miRNA from 1 species
CCGCGGCCGUCGGGCCCUCGGCGCCGGCCCGUUAGUUGCCCUGGCCGGGAGCCGGCCAGGCCCGCGGGGUGC